GACGAACGCUGGCGGCGUGCUUAACACAUGCAAGUCGAACGAUGAAGCGGUGCUUGCACCGUGGAUUAGUGGCGAACGGGUGAGUAAUACGUGAGUGACCUACCUUUGACUCUGGGAUAAGCCUGGGAAACUGGGUCUAAUACCGGAUACGACCAAUCUCUGCAUGGGGUGUUGGUGGAAGGCGUUAUGGAGUGGUUUUAGAUGGGCUCACGGCCUAUCAGCUUGUUGGUGAGGUAAUGGCUUACCAAGGCGACGACGGGUAGCCGGCCUGAGAGGGUGACCGGCCACACUGGGACUGAGACACGGCCCAGACUCCUACGGGAGGCAGCAGUGGGGAAUAUUGCACAAUGGGCGCAAGCCUGAUGCAGCGACGCCGCGUGAGGGAUGACGGCCUUCGGGUUGUAAACCUCUGUUAGCAUCGAAGAAGCGAAAGUGACGGUAGGUGCAGAGAAAGC
rnacentral:rRNA from 1 species